GUCUCUGCUGCUGGAUCUCUGUUGAUUGUAGUUUCAGUCGUGAUGUGCUGCAUCUGCAGGAAAUGUAGAAAAACAGCCCAGACCCAAGAGGAAGACAGAAUUGAUUCAGCAUUGUGUAAACCGAAAACAGAGAAAACGAAACCAAAGACUGAGGCUGUGUAUGGAAAUGUCCUCAAAAAACAAUGAUCAAAUACUGGAUUUUUUUUAGAACUUAUACAGGACAAUACCUCACACUUUUUCAUUCACAUUAAUUAUCUUCCAGGAUGUCACUAUUUUGUCUGUAUCAUAUCUUUUGGUGUU